GCAUAAAAAAAACAGACAACAGUAUGGGCAGAAAUAAAAACAGACACCUUCAUAGUCAAAAAUUAAAACAUACAAUAUCAUGGUAAACAAAUGAAACAAACAUCUCCAAGGACAAAAUUCAAAACAGACAACAUCAUGGUGAAAAAUUAAAACUAACAACACUAUGGCAUAAGAAAAACAGACAACAGCAAGGACACAAAAAAACCACAGGC
rnacentral:lncRNA from 1 species